UACGGGGGGAGCAAGCGUUGUUCGGAUUUACUGGGCGUAAAGCGCACGUAGGCGGAUUGCUAAGUCAGGGGUGAAAUCCUGGAGCUCAACUCCAGAACUGCCCUUGAUACUGGCGGUCUCGAGUCCGGGAGAGGUGAGUGGAACUGCGAGUGUAGAGGUGAAAUUCGUAGAUAUUCGCAAGAACACCAGUGGCGAAGGCGGCUCACUGGCCCGGUACUGACGCUGAGGUGCGAAAGCGUGGGGAGCAAACAGG
rnacentral:rRNA from 1 species